CAGUCGCCGCGGUAAUACGUAGGUGGCAAGCGUUGUCCGGAAUUAUUGGGCGUAAAGCGUGCGCAGGCGGUUUGUUAAGACAGAUGUGAAAUCCCCGGGCUCAACCUGGGAACUGCAUUUGUGACUGGCAAGCUAGAGUAUGGCAGAGGGGGGUGGAAUUCCGCGUGUAGCAGUGAAAUGCGUAGAUAUGCGGAGGAACACCGAUGGCGAAGGCAGCCCCCUGGGCCAAUACUGACGCUCAUGCACGAAAGCGUGGGGAGCAAACAGGAUUAGAGACCCCUGUAGUCCCUGUCUCUUAUAC
rnacentral:rRNA from 1 species